rnacentral:lncRNA from 1 species
GGUAUCACAGCUGAUGAGCAAGCCAACAAAUUGCGCCGCUUCCAAGAGGAAGAACCCUAUAAAUCAAACGAUUUUGAUGGUUUCGAUUUGGAUUACGGUCAAAAAGUUAUUGCCUCCAUAUUAAAAUAUAAGACAAUUUUGUAGGCUAGUUUAGCCUACAAAAACAUCUUAUAUUUUGGUACAGAGGUAGUACUUGAUAGCAAUGAAAAGAAAUUGAUAAUAAUGGUGCUGUAUUUGCAGUGAAUUGAUAUUCUUUGAUGGAAGAUCAGGAAUCACUAAGAUAAUAAGGUUGUUGAGGGCUAGACUUUCUUGGAAAUUAAAGUACCUAGAGACAGGAUUAAGAAUUGUAUGCACUUGAUUUGGGUGCCGCUUUUUGUAUCAUCAUAUUGAUAUGGUUUUUAUCAUGUACCUCUAUUGUUGUGAAACAUAUUUACAUUGUUUUACCAAAUAAUAUUAGUGCUACAGGAUUGAGAAUUUGGAGCUGAUUAUGAAGCACGGUGUCUACUUGGGAGCUCCAAAAAAUAAAAUUGGAUUCAGUGACCUUCUCUUAGUGUUCUUGUAGUUUAGGCAAUAGGUAUCCACUUGAAAAUACAUCUGGGCAUUACAGUCCUAUCUCUAUUCCAUCCAAUUUCAUGAACAAAUCUAAACUCAUCCUGCUUCACGCGGCAAAAAUAAACUAUAGAAAACAGAUGUAAAGCUAGCAGAUAUACGAAAUCUGCCCUUGGUCUUCGUCUUCAUCCAUAUCCAUCUUUUUACACAAUCACGAUGAAGAUAUGCUUACCGGGAGUUCCAAAGUUGAUGGAGGCAACUCUGAACAGGGCAGAGGCACGAACUCUGUACCGCCCCUUCUGCCACAACAACAACCGCCAAUGGUCGGAGGCCUAGAUUCUUGGCCAUGCGCCGCUUCUGCUGCAUCUUGUAGUCGCCGCCCUCGCUCGGUGCUCCCCCAAGAGCAAGGUAUACACCGGUCAGAAGGAGGGCCAGAGCGCACCCAUCACCAUCCUGGUGAUGGCGCUCUGUCC